UUUAAAAUCGUCAAAAGAUGCAUAUAAUGGCUAUAUUAGACCAUGGUAAAUGUUCAGUAUUACUGUUUCCUCACAAAUAUCAUAACUAAAACGAAAAUUUGCGAAUCUGAAACAACUUUUUUCAAUUUUGUCAAUUUACCAAAGCGUGAAAAGAUCCCUUUAAAGCUCAAGCUCAAAGCUGGUGCAAUUCCAACGAUAUUUCCGGAAACAGAGGCAUACAAAGCUUCAAAGAAAGCUCCUCUAAAUCCCAACGACCUUGGACCAGGGAAGCACAACCGAGCGAAGUAUGGCGCCUAUUCUGAAAGGAACCGGACCCAUAUUCAUCAUGUGUGGAAGAGCCAGAUGUCUGUGAAGAAAUGUCUUGUGAACAGUCGCCUGUUCGGAUCAGUUAUCCUGAAUCACAUUUUGAUAAUGUGUAUUCGCAGUCAUCACAGACAUCUGAGACGGUUGUAUUUCGGCCAACAGAACACAAGGGAUUCACUGUCAAACCACAGGGAAAGAACUCUCCUAUCCUAAGUACAAGGCUGGACACCAUGUGGUUAAAGCAGUUAAAGAGAAUUGCACUUAUGACUAUGUUGAUGAACUAAUGGCAGAGCUGCUUAGGAUGAAAGAGGAGUACAAGAGCGAUGCCAAUGCAAGGGCUGCCUCUGGCAACAUUCUGUUUUCACCGCCACCUGUCUUCAUCUGCAAACAGAAUCCUGAAGUCAGAGGCUGUGCAGAACCAUCGUUCGCGAUUUAAUUAGCGAACAGGGAUGGAAAUUAGUGGUUGCCCGUUUUGUUGUAUAGUUAUCUAUUACUUUUAAAGAAAGUAUUGGUUACACAUGACACUACAUGUACAUAGUACUGGGCGCGUUGAGGCUUACGAUGGGAAACCAAAAAACUAUAGAUGGUUGUCCAUGUGGGCAACCAACUGUAAAACGUUAGUUUCCAUCCCUGGCGAAGCAAAAUCAAAUGUAUGAGUCGGACGGAAAUCUCUGGCUGCCACAGCGCAUGAC